ensembl:lncRNA novel transcript
AAAAUAGCAGAAGGAAAAGAAGGAAGAGGCAAUGUCACACUUCUGCUAAGAAGAGAGUUAUGGCAAGUACAAGUUGCUGAGAAAGAAGCAAACUGCUCAUUUGGAUGAAGGAAAUUAAUUCUUUGAAGCCAUCAAAGAUUCCUGCAGCUUUGAGAAUAGUUUGGAAAUAUUAUUCUUGCCUCCUAUGGUCAUCCUGUUAUUCAUCAGCAGAUGCUACUGAUCCAACAGCUUCCCAGCUAAGAUGGAAGGAUGAGAGAGGCCCUAAGGUAACUUCUGAGGGCAUGGGACUUGGCGGUAAAAACAGAGAAGGUGCUGUGGACCCCAUUUUCGGAAGAAAACUGUUUUCCUCACAGAAUCCCAGGAAUUGAAAGCUGAUGGAUACCUCUCAAAAUCUGUUUUUGUCUUCUGGCUAUGCCUGUUUAUUAGGCUGUAGAAAUUGCAUGCUCUCCUAGCGGUGCUUUUGAAAGCCUCCAUCCUGAGGCCAAUAAUCCAAUUAUGAGAUUGGCAAAUGAAAAAUCUUACAAUUACUGUAUCUUCUUCUAUCUGUCUGUAUAGUUAUAUAUGUGUUAUAUGUGUGAUAUUUAUAAAAAAGAGCUCUAAUUGAUUAGCCUAAAGAAAAACAAGUGCUUAGACCAAAUAUUUUGAAGGAAAAAUAAAAGCUGUAAUGCCUUUUAGUUCACGUGACUUUAAUCUUUGAGAAAUAAAAACAGUUUUAAAGAUAAUUGGUAAAAUACAAAUGUCUUCAGAAUGUAAACAAGUGGUCUAAAUUAUGUGGGUUAGAUACUAGGUUUGCGAAAUGUUUUAAGGUUAUAAACUACUUCUUUGUUAUUUGAGAACUUUUUGACCUGCCUGCUUUACAAUUUGGUAAGGCUGAGGACAUAUGGAAUUAACCACACCCUUAACUAUACUGGAAAGAGUCAGAUCUUAUCUGUG